AGGCGGAGACUUUGGCAAAUGCC
rnacentral:miRNA from 13 species